UACAGAGGGGGCAAGCGUUGUUCGGAAUUACUGGGCGUAAAGGGCGCGUAGGCGGCCCGCUAAGUCGAACGUGAAAUCCCUGGGCUCAACCCAGGAACUGCGUCCGAUACUGGCAGGCUUGAAUCCGGGAGAGGGAUGCGGAAUUCCAGGUGUAGCGGUGAAAUGCGUAGAUAUCUGGAGGAACACCGGUGGCGAAGGCGGCAUCCUGGACCAAUUCUGACGCUGAGGAGCGAAAGCCAGGGGAGCAAACGGG
rnacentral:rRNA from 1 species